GUAGAGUAAACGAUAUGCGUUAAGUGUCAUGAGAUGGGAUGUCGCUCAUGAACGAAAGGCCCGCAGCCCGGGCUUGCGAUAUAUCGUUGCGUCCGCUGC
rnacentral:ncRNA from 1 species